rnacentral:lncRNA from 1 species
GGGGCGUCCGUCUGUCCGUCCGUCAGUCCGUCAGUCCGGCCGCCCGGCCGCCCAGCUGUCUGUCUGUCCGUCCGUUCGUCUGCCCUUCCGUCCGCCCAGCCACCCACGUGUCUGUCUGUCUGUCCGUCCGUUCGUCUGCCCGUCCGUCCUUCCACCCGGGUGCCCACCCGUGUGUCCGUCCGUCCGUACGUCUGUCUGUCCGUCUGGUUAUCCUUCUCUCUGUCCGUCCAGCUGUCCCCCUGUCCAGCUGUCUGUCCACCCGGUUGUUCCUCUGUCCGUCUGUCUGUCUGGUUGUCUGUUUGCCCAGUUGUCCGCCUGUCUGGGUGCCGCUUUGUCCAGCUGUCCAUCCAGGUGUCUGUCUGUCCUGUCAUCCCUCUGUCCAUCCGUUUGUCCACCCACUUGCCCAUCUUUCUGUCUGUCCAGGUGUCUGUCUGUCUGUCUGUCUGUCUGUCCAGUUUGGCAUCCAUCUGCGUGUCCCCGUUGUCCGUCUUUCUGUCCAGCUGUCCGUCCGUCCGGGUCUCCACCCAUCUGGGUGUCCAUGCGCGUGUCCGUCUUUCCAUCCAUCCAAUUGUCCGCGCAGCUGUCCGCCUGUCUGUCUGUCCGUCUGUCUGUCCAGCUCUCCAUCCACCCAUGGGAGAGUCCGUCUGUCUGUCCGUCUGUCCGUCUGCCCACCACUCCCCCUUCCUGUUACCCGUUCGUCCACACGUCCGUCUGUCUGUCUGUCCAUCCCACACCCUUCCAGCUGUCCAUUCGUCCGUCCGUCCGUCCGGGGUGGGAGCAAUGUUGGGGGGGGGCACAA